GUGUUCGCUUCGGCAGCACAUAUACGAAAACUGGAAUGAUACAGAGAAGAUUAGCAUGGCCCCUGUGCAAGGAUGACAUGUAAAUUCGUGAAGCGCGGUCAUGGCAG
rnacentral:snRNA from 1 species